rnacentral:rRNA from 1 species
AAUAAGCUAAGUAAGGGCGUAUGGGGAAUGCCUAGGCUCUCAGAGGCGAUGAAGGACGUGAUAAGCUGCGAUAAGUAUUGGGGAGGGGCACAUACCUUAUGAUCCGAUAAUUUCCGAAUGGGGCAACCCACUAUAUUGAAGAUAUAGUAUCCGUAAGGAGGCGAACCCGGAGAACUGAAACAUCUAAGUACCCGGAGGAGAAGAAAACAAAAGUGAUUCCGUUAGUAGUGCGAGCGAACGCGGAUUAGCCCAAACCAGUGUUGUUACGGCAAUGCUGGGGUUGUAGGACCACGAUAUUCGAGUG